rnacentral:rRNA from 1 species
AAUAGAUACCCUGGUAGUCCACGCCCUAAACGAUGCGAACUGGAUAUUGGGUUCAACUUGGAACCCAGUAUCGAAGCUAACGCGUUAAGUUCGCCGCCUGGGGAGUACGGUCGCAAGACUGAAACUCAAAGGAAUUGACGGGGGCCCGCACAAGCGGUGGAGUAUGUGGUUUAAUUCGAUGCAACGCGAAGAACCUUACCUGGUCUUGACAUGUGGCGGAAAACGGCGGAAACGUCGUCCUCCCGCAAGGGACCGUCAUGCAGGUGUUGCAUGGCUGUCGUCAGCUCGUGUCGUGAGAUGUUGGGUUAAGUCCCGCAACGAGCGCAACCCCCGUGGCAUGUUGUAUCUCUCAUGCCAGACUGCCGAGAGAAACUCGGAGGAAGGUGGGGAUGACGCCAAGUCAGCAUGGCCCUUACGUCCUGGGCUACACACACGCUACAAUGGCCGGUACAACGGGUUGCCAAACCGCGAGGUGGAGCUAAUCCCUUAAAGCCGGUCUCAGUUCGGAUUGCAGGCUGCAACUCGCCUGCA